rnacentral:rRNA from 1 species
UUCCGAAUGGGGAAACCCAGUGUGAUUCGUCACACUAUCAUUAACUGAAUCCAUAGGUUAAUGAGGCGAACCGGGGGAACUGAAACAUCUAAGUACCCCGAGGAAAAGAAAUCAACCGAGAUUCCCCCAGUAGCGGCGAGCGAACGGGGAGCAGCCCAGAGCCUGAAUCAGUGUGUGUGUUAGUGGAAGCGUCUGGAAAGGCGCGCGAUACAGGGUGACAGCCCCGUACACAAAAAUGCACAUGCUGUGAGCUCGAUGAGUAGGGCGGGACACGUGGUAUCCUGUCUGAAUAUGGGGGGACCAUCCUCCAAGGCUAAAUACUCCUGACUGACCGAUAGUGAACCAGUACCGUGAGGGAAAGGCGAAAAGAACCCCGGCGAGGGGAGUGAAAAAGAACCUGAAACCGUGUAC